rnacentral:lncRNA from 1 species
UAAUUGCAUGCCAUAGAUGUUGCUCAAAUGAACAUGUCUUUUCACAAAAUUUCCUUCAAGUGGUAUCAGAGCCUAGGUCUAGUAGUUGGUGAGUCCUUUUGGGUUUUGUAGUUCAUAGUCUUUGAUUUGAAUGUUGUAAUUGUUACAAGCUUUAUUCUUGCUUCUUUGAAUGUAAAUUUUGUUAGAAAAUGUGUCAUCUCAAACGUUGUAGAUGUAGUUCAUAUGAGCAUGAAUUUUGGAGCUAAAAUUUGGUGUCAUGUUUUUGGGGAAAUUCGGCCAAAUCCAAAUGGUGGAUUUUUGGGUUCAUGUUUGUCUUGUUAAAAGUGUUUUAAAGUGACUUUAGGAACCCCUAAGUACCCUAGUAUGGUAAUAUCUUGUUUCCCUUAAGUUUGAGAGUUUUUGGGGUGUCUUUGGGUGAAAAAUGUUCAUGGAGCUCUUAUGGGUGUUCAUGGAUGUUCUUCAAUGUUCUUGUUAUGUUUUUGACAAGAACAAAAAGGUUGGGUAUUUUGAUUCAAAAGUUUUGGUUGUUGAAUAAAGUUUUUUGUUUGUGAUGGAUGGUUUGAAUUUUCAAUAAAUACUCAUACCAAUCACUUACACAUUUUCCUUGUUACAAGGAACCAUGUUUUAUGGAAACCUACUUUUUCAAACCAACCUAUCACCUUUUCAACCCAUCACCUUUCACUUUGUUGAAAAAUUCAAAAGUUUUUAUGACACCAUCACUCUCACCAACCAACCACCCUAUUAAAAUAGGGUACUUUUGGGGCUUUUAUGUAAUUACAUAGUUUUGAUACUUUUGUGUAUUUGUACUUUGACCCGAAAGUUUACUUUUUUACGUAAAGGCCCAAAAUUACUAAAGGACAAAUUGUUUUGCUCCUUUCAUGAAGUUUUUGUAUUUGAUGAAAUUUUUAGGUUCUAGUUGUAAUUACAUGAAGUAGUGGACUUUUGUGUUCUUACAAAGUAACCUCAAAAGUUUGUGUUUUGCAACAUAGCCUAAAAAAGUUGAGGUUAUUGCAUUUGGCCCAAAUUAGUUGAGAACAAAAUAGUUUUGUAUCUUUAAAUGAGAAUUGGAUUUUCAUUUCAUUUAGCUCCAUUUAAAUCAAUUCUAUGGAAACAAAAACCAAAUGAAAAUGUUGCAUUCAAGUUUAAUUAGUUAAAGCAUUAAUUAAUUAAAGAAAUGGUGAUUAUGAACCUAAGCCUAGGAUAAUUGAGCUAUGUGAAAGGUCGUCUCAAAUUUGUUUGAACCAUGGGAAUGUGUAGAUUAGAUUUUGGUUGUAAUUUGAUAUGAUCAAAUAUUGUAAAAGAGCAUAAGCUCUUCUUUACUUUAAAGUAAUUUAUUUUGAUCAAAUUUUGUAAAAGAGCAUAAGCUCUUCUAUACUUUGAAGUACUCAUUUCUUGUUUUAUUUGAUAUGCAUGAAAUUGGAGUAGUUGGGUCCAACGCCCAAUAGGAAAAAGACGCCUUAAUAUGAUUAAAUGUGUAACUAAAAUCAAUCACCAUCCCUAGACCGAGAUUCAACACUAGGCUCGUGUUGGAUCGAAUCAAAGGUUCAUAGUCAUCCUAAGGCCCUAAGGCAACUAUAUAGUCCAUCAAUGAAUGCAAACCUUAUGUUAGUAGUACCAUAUACUCUUGCUUUAAAAAACCGUUUUACAAGCAUAGUGGGAGUAUUAUAUACAACUAAAUCAAUCACAUGGACCAAUAGUUGUAAUAGGACCAAAUUGUUUUAAUAAGAUUAAAAUGCAUGCUUAUAUGUGAUGAGACCUAAAACCCUCAACCAAACCAUUAUUAAGUUGAUAAGCAUGAGAGUGCUUUGAACACUCUUUCGUGGCCUUCCACUGUGGUAGGCUCCGAUCGUUUGUGACUCGUACACCGACUUCACCCUAUCAUGGGGGAGUACAAAAUGCGUGCUUACACUCAGGAAGAGUUCUAUAUGCAUACAUGAUGUUGUGAAGGUAGGCAACAAGAAUGAUCAACAUCAUAUCAUUGUGAGGUUGUUCUUGAACCCCUACUCGAACUUGCAUGGUGGGAAUGACUUAACUAAGUGCAAUGGAGCCAACAUCAUAUCAUUGUGAGGCUUCAUUCUCUAGAGGCCAAAUAAGAUGGGUACUUGCAAGAGAUGCAAAUGAGUAAGCGUACUCUCUCAUUAUUAUUGAUGCUAGCCAACAUCAUAUCAUUGUGAGGUGGGCUUGGUAAUGAUGAGUCUCCCAUACCCUACUAGAUUUUCCUCUAAAACUCGGGAUAUGGAAUUUGCCAAAAAUAGUGGGUGGUGCUAUUUGAUUUAAAGACCCGGAUCAAAUGGCUUAAAAUCAAUCAAUUUAUAUUCGUUAUAUAUUUAUUUACCAAUAUAUUUGCAAAUGCUAUCCAAAACUUGACAAAGAAAAAGCCGAAAGCUUUAGUUUCCGGACUUGGUACUACAAUCCCAUAGAUU